UGCGCGAGAAUAGAUUAGGCAAGAAAUGAUGAUUCAGCACCUGCCGCUUCCUGCCAUGUGCUAAAUGAUCAGUUUAGUCUCAAUCAGCAGACAGAGAAAGAAAAAGCCUGGAAGAGAGACAAGAAGAUUCACACCGGAAAACGGAAGAAUGACAGAGAUCCGCAACUCAGAAAUUCUCAUUUAGGUUUGGGUCUCUUAAACCAGACGGGGAGCUAGCUGCUGUGUGCGUAUCAGAGGAGAGAUUCUAAAGCCGUCCAUCUAACGCUAUCCUAAGUUUCUUCAACAAGGGAAAAAGAAAAUCCUUCUGGCAAUUGAGAAAAAUGAUGCAUCAGUGCCUCGACCACACAGAGCCCAGGAUGCGACAGGGCUAAGCAGCUGGACAGCACAAGAG